CCGAUCGGCAAAGGUUGGCGGUAAAGACGAAAAUGGGAAAGACAAAGCUCUCAAAAAAUUCUACAGCUGAAGUUGACAAAGAAAAUGUUGGUCCAGUUUCAAGGAAGAGAGCUGCAGAGGAUCCAUGCCAUGGUCACUUGUCCAGGAAGACUCGGAUGAAAUGGGAUGUAGAUCCAAAUCUAUCCAAUCACAUCUAUAAUGAGAUGGGUGUGGAGCCUCUAUCAAGUGCUGAAAACAGCUUGGAUUCCAUGCCUCUUGUUACAGAAAAAACACCUGCCCUGAAUCUAAUAUCCGAACCCAAACAGACUGUGCCUCAGGCUCCCAGAGUUUUGCAGGAGAGACAAAAUCGGCUUGUUCAGGAUGAUCAGGCUCGCCUUUAUAACCCACCAGUGGACACGUCAAAGGUGAACACAUUAGAGGGAAUCCUUAGGAAUGAUGACAACUUCUUGUGUAGACGUGUCAAAGAUGUUUAUGAGGAUGAAGAUCACUUUGGUCGACUGUCAGAUGAGAUGAUUCUGAAUGUUUUCCGAUGGCUCCCAAAGUUUGUCCUAUCUAGGUGUUCUAGAGUGUGCAAAAGAUGGAGUAGUCUUGUACUUGAUGAGAGUUUAUGGAAGAGAAUUGACCUAGCUGACAAAUUUUUGAAAGCUGGAGUUUUGGGUAAAGUCUUGAACAGAGGGGUACAUAUACUCAGGCUGACACGUGCUGAGAUAAUGACUCCUUUGUUUACCCACACUGGCUUCACAUCAGCAUUUAGAACACUUAACAUGUGUAAAGUUCAGUAUUUAGACCUCAGCAUGGCUGAUAUAUCCACAGAAGGCUUAUCAGAGAUGUUUGGUGUGUGCCGAGAUUUGAAAAAGAUAAGCCUAGAAAACUGUGUGCUCAAUGACACAGUUUGCAGACAUAUAGGAGAGAAUGUCUACUUAGAAACCCUGAAUCUAUGCAUGUGCCAAGGAAUCUCAACAGAGGGUCUGAUAGGAAUUGCUGGAAACUGUAAACAGUUGGAAUCUAUCAAUUUGGCGUGGACAUCCCUGAGUAGAGAAACAUUGAUGUAUUUGGUGAUGUGUUUGCCCCAAACAUUGUGCAAGCUUAAUCUGAGUGGCUGUAGAGAAAAACUGCUGGAUGAAGAUGUUUCCCACCUGGUGGACACCUGCCCUCAUCUGAAGGAGAUUGACCUGAGUGACGCCACUGCCCUCACCUGUAACGCCUUACACCACAUAGCCAACAACCUGCAUGGUCUGGAGUACGUCGCCCUCAGCAGAUGUUACCAUAUCAUGCCAGCCUCAUUACCGGUGUUAACUAAGAUUGUCACUCUCCUUGCUGUGGAUAUGUUUGGAAUGCUACGUGAAGCUCCCCUCCAACAGCUGCGAGAAAGCAUGCCUAGGAUUGAGAUCAACAAGUUCCCCUUCUCUAGCAUAGCUCGCCCCACCACCGGGAUACGACGUACCAGCCUGUGGGGAAUGCGGGUCCGAGACACCAAUGUUUAGCGUUGCCACUAACAAAGAUAGUUUACUCAGUUUACUCUUGGCAGCUUAGAACCACUUCACAAAAGCAUUUCAUUUUUUUGUUGUUGUUGUUGAUGAUACCUCUUAUGGCAUUGUAACUUAUAUUGCCCGGUCAGUGCCGCUUUGUAUGUUUGUAUGACAGUCAAGGAAUGCUAGUUAAUGUAUGAUGGACAACAAUGUUGACAUGAAUGUGUUUUUGGCAUGGUGCAUGAAGGCUACGUACAAUUACUUUAGUAUUGUCUUGACAUGACACUUUUGCUCCUUGGUUAUGCAAUUUGGACGACAUAACAUGUUGAUAUACAUUCGAUAAUUAAUGAAGUUGAGCUAUGUAAAAUGUAUGAUACUUCUCAAAGAUUUGUCACACUAUAUUUUUCCUUGAGGUUUACUCUGUAUUUUCAUAUUUUCAUUGUAACAUUUCACUUAACGCUUGGUCCUCCGUGGCCAAGGGGGUUAGCACGCCAGCAUGGCACAAUGAGCCAGGAGCCCUGCACCAAUGUGAGUUCAAGUCCAGUUCAUCUUGGCUUUCUCUCAGGCCGUAAGUGGGAAGGCCUGUCAGUAACCAGCGGAUGGUUGCAGGUUUUCCCGGGGCUCUGCUCAGUUUCCUCCCACCAUAAUGCUGGCCGCUGUCGUAUAAGUGAAACAUUUUUGAGAUUAUUCCUCAGUUUGGAAGGUUGGACAUUAUCAUAGUUCAAGUUUAGUCAAUUCACUUUCUAGACGUUUUCCAUUUUCGUUUCAAAAUUACAUUGCACAUAGAAGCCUGAUCAUGCACUUUUAAACCGUGUUGUUAUCAGCUCUGAAUUUGCAGUUUACUUUAAUUUUGUUUGAUUUACUUUGUCUUUUUAGUUAUUUUUUUGUCAUGAAUUACUCAGGGUUGACUGUAAAGUAGAUGUAUUCUUGUUUCCUCAAUUAUUGCAAUUCAUGAUGACUUGUUUUGUCUUCAAUUAUGAGAAGUCCUAUCUAUUUUUGAAUGAAAUUUGUUCUUAGUCACUAUAUUGAUGUGUAAAACUCAAGUCAUUUUGAUACAUAACUUGCAUGAUCAUUUCUCCUCACUUCAUUUUGCAGAGAAUAAAUCUCUGUUGUUGUUAAGGCAUGUAUUGUUGAUGGCAUCAUUCCAUGUUCCAGUUACAAUUGUGAUCUCAACUAUUUAUAAAGUUUAAUGUACCUAAUUAUUGUAAAAUCAAUAACUUGAUGACACUGAAAGUCGAGUACAGGUAUGGUUUUCCAUGAUGCUUUACAUUCUAACCAAUUUCAUGUUUAGGAAUAGUGGACCAAUAGUACAGGUAUGUUGUGUAAUACUCCACGUUAAGCCAACUGCAUGUUUAGGGACACUGAAACUAUAGUACAGAUGCAUGGUGUCAUGUUAAGAGUUAAGCCAACUGCAUGUGUAGGGAUUCUGAAACUAUAGUACAGAUGCAUGGUGUCAUGUUUAGAGUUAAGCCAACUGCAUGUGUAGGGAUACUGAAACUAUAGUACAGAUGCAUGGUGUCAUGUUUAGAGUUAAGCCAACUGCAUGUAUGUGGACACUGAAACUAUAAUACAGAUGCAUGGUGUCAUGUUUAGAGUUAAGGCAACUGCAUGUGUAGGGACACUGAAACUAUAGUACAGAUGCAUGGUGUCAUGUUUAGAGUUAGGCCAACUGCAUGUGUAGGGACAUUGAAACUAUAGUACAGAUGCAUGGUGUCAUGUUUAGAGUUAAGCCAACUGCCUGUAUAGGGACACUGAAACUGUAGGUUUAGUGAUAGGGACACUACAUGUAUAUGUUGUUGAAAGAGGCUUAACAUUGUAUCCAACAGAGUGAACGCACCUGGAGUGACCAUUUACAAUGAAUUGGUAGACCCAUUUUGUGAUUUCCUUAUAACUUGUUGAUUGGAUUAAACAGGAACAUAUGCAGCAGGCAUAUCUGCAAAGGGAAUCCCAUUGUCUUCCUCAGGGUAAAUAACAAAUGACAUUAUCAUUGUCAGAUUGAGAAUGAUGUACUUUUAAAUUAGGGCCCCUGUGGAUCUAUUUAAAUCAUUUGAUAAUCUUCAUUGCAAAUUGUGAUACUAGUAUUUAACCAUUUGAUCCCAAAUGCGGGUUCUGUUAAUAUCUUUUAGCAGAUGAAUUGUGCCUUCCCGCUGAAGCAGUGACAUUGUAUGCUUAUCACUUCUGACUUUGUUAUUUUAUAAACUCAACUGAAUGUUGACACUAAUUAAUUUAAGUGUCUUGUUCAUAGUUACCACUGUAUUCUAUCAUUUGUCAUCUUUUUAAGAAAAAUAAAAUUAUUUGAUCAUGA